rnacentral:rRNA from 1 species
UCCAGACUCCUACGGGAGGCAGCAGUGGGGAAUAUUGCGCAAUGGGGGCAACCCUGACGCAGCAACGCCGCGUGAUUGAAGAAGGCCUUCGGGUUGUAAAGAUCUUUAAUCAGGGACGAAAAAUGACGGUACCUGAAGAAUAAGCUCCGGCUAACUACGUGCCAGCAGCCGCGGUAAUACGUAGGGAGCGAGCGUUGUCCGGAAUUACUGGGUGUAAAGGGAGCGUAGGCGGGCGAGAAAGUUGAAUGUUAAAUCUACCGGCUUAACUGGUAGCUGCGUUCAAAACUUCUUGUCUUGAGUGAAGUAGAGGCAGGCGGAAUUCCUAGUGUAGCGGUGAAAUGCGUAGAUAUUAGGAGGAACACCAGUGGCGAAGGCGGCCUGCUGGGCUUUAACUGACGCUGAGGCUCGAAAGCGUGGGGAGCAAACAGGAUUAGAUACCCCCGUA